GACGAACGCUGGCGGCGUGCCUAAUACAUGCAAGUCGAGCGCAGGAAGCCGUCCGAACCCUUCGGGGGGACGACGGUGGAAUGAGCGGCGGACGGGUAAGUAACACGUAAAGAACCUGCCCAUAGGUCUGGGAUAACCACGAGAAAUCGGGGCUAAUACCGGAUGUGUCAUCGGACCGCAUGGUCCGCUGAUGAAAGGCGCUCCGGCGUCGCCCAUGGAUGGCUUUGCGGUGCAUUAGCUAGUUGGUGGGGUAACGGCCCACCAAGGCGACGCUGCAUAGCCGACCUGAGAGGGUGAUCGGCCACACUGGGACUGAGACACGGCCCAGACUCCUACGGGAGGCAGCAGUAGGGAAUCUUCCACAAUGGGCGAAAGUCUGAUGGAGCAACGCCGCGUGAACGAUGAAGGCUUUCGGGUCGUAAAGUUCUGUUGUAAGGGAAGAACAAGUGCCGCAGGCAAUGGCGGCACCUUGACGGUACCUUGCGAGAAAGCCACGGCUAACUACGUGCCAGCAGCCGCCGUAACAC
rnacentral:rRNA from 1 species